rnacentral:rRNA from 1 species
UACGGAGGAUCCAAGCGUUAUCCGGAAUCAUUGGGUUUAAAGGGUCCGUAGGCGGUUUAAUAAGUCAGUGGUGAAAGCCCAUCGCUCAACGGUGGAACGGCCAUUGAUACUGUUAAACUUGAAUUAUUAGGAAGUAACUAGAAUAUGUAGUGUAGCGGUGAAAUACUUAGAGAUUACAUGGAAUACCAAUUGCGAAGGCGGGUUACUACCAGUGGAUUGACGCUGAUGGACGAAAGCGUGGAUAGCGAACAGG